GAUGAACGCUGGCGGCGUGCCUAAUACAUGCAAGUCGAGCGAACAGACGAGGCGCUUGCUCCUCUGACGUUAGCGGCGGACGUGUGAGUAACACGUGUAUAACCUACCUAUCAUACUGGGAAAACUUCGGGAAACCGGCGCUAAUACCGGAUAAUAUAUUGAACCGCAUGGUUCAAUAGUGAAAGACGGCUUUUCUGUCACUUAUAGAUGGAUCCGCGCCGCAUUAGCUAGUUGGUAAGUUAACGGCUUACCAAGGCGACGAUGCGUAGCCGACCGAGGAGGGUGGUAGGCCACACUAGAAGUGAGACGCGGACCAGGCUACUACGGGAGGCAGCAGUAGGGAAUCUUACGCAAUGGGCGGAAGCCUGACGGAGCAACGGCGCGUGAGUGAUGAAGGUCUUCGGAUCGUAAAACUCUGUUAUUAGGGAAGAACAAAUGUGUAAGUAACUAUGCACGUCUUGACGGUACCUAAUAAGAAAGCCACGGCUAACUACGUG
rnacentral:rRNA from 1 species